rnacentral:rRNA from 1 species
GAGGGGUGCAAACGUUAUUCGGAUUAACUGGGCGUAAAGAGUGUGUAGACGGAACAUUAAGUUCGCUGUUAAAUCUUUCGGCUUAACCGAAAGCUUGCGGUGAAAACUAAUGAUCUUGAGGGUGAAAGAGAGAAGUGGAAUUCUCGGAGUAGCGGUAAAAUGCGUAGAUCUCGAGAGGAACACCGAUGGCGAAGGCAGCUUCUUGGUUCACUUCUGACGUUGAGACACGAAAGCGUGGGUAGCAAACAGGAUUAGAUACCCUGGUAGUCCGCGCCGUAAACGAUGAUCACUGGAUGUCAGCUUUGCUUAGCAGAGUUGGUAUCGAAGCUAACGCGUUAAGUGAUCCGCCUGGGAAUUACGGUCGCAAGAUUA